rnacentral:rRNA from 1 species
UACAGAGGUCUCAAGCGUUGUUCGGAUUCAUUGGGCGUAAAGGGUGCGUAGGCGGCGAGGCAAGUCUGGUGUGAAAUCCCGGGGCUCAACUCCGGAACUGCACUGGAUACUGCUUUGCUAGAGUACUGGAGAGGGAACUGGAAUUUACGGUGUAGCAGUGAAAUGCGUAGAUAUCGUAAGGAAGACCAGCGGCGAAGGCGAGUUCCUGGACAGUAACUGACGCUGAGGCACGAAGGCCAGGGGAGCAAACGGG